GACGUAGGGGGCGAGCGUUGUCCGGAUUUAUUGGGCGUAAAGCGUGCGUAGGCGGCUGCGCAAGUCGGGUGUGAAACCCCGGGGCUCAACCCCGGAACUGCAUCCGAUACUGCGUGGCUAGGGGUAGGUAGGGGAGAACGGAAUUCCUGGUGUAGCGGUGAAAUGCGCAGAUAUCAGGAGGAACACCGGUGGCGAAGGCGGAGCUCUGGGCCUGACCUGACGCUCAGGCACGAAAGCUAGGGGAGCGAACAGG
rnacentral:rRNA from 1 species